AUUUUAGCGGCGGACGGGUGAGUAACGUGUGGGUAACCUGCCUUAUACUUCUGGAAUAAUCAGUGAGAAAUGCGUGACUAAUACCGCAUGUCAUCCUUUUAUCGCAUGAUGAGAGGAGAAAAGGAUUUAUUCGGGAGUAAGAUGGACCCGCAUCUGAUUAGCUAGUUGGUGAGAUAAUAGCUC
rnacentral:rRNA from 1 species